rnacentral:tRNA from 1 species
GGGCGUGUAGCUCAGCUGGCUAGAGCACUUCCCUUACAAGGAAGGGGUCGGGGGUUCGAGUCCCUCCGCGCCCACCA